rnacentral:tRNA from 1 species
GCCCGAGUAGCUCAGACGGCAGAGCAGCGCACUCGUAAUGCGCAGGUCAGCGGUUCGAUUCCGCUCUCGGGCU